UGACUAUUAAGGAACGAACUUAACUGGU
rnacentral:sRNA from 1 species